rfam:Schistosoma rodhaini strain Burundi genome assembly, scaffold: SROB_scaffold0000878
ACACUGCUGAGGAGUCCCAUACCAGGACGAAACGGCCGUCUAGUCAU